rnacentral:rRNA from 1 species
AGGACGAACGCUGGCGGCGUGCUUAAUACAUGCAAGUCGAGCGGACUCCAACCACUCGCAAGAGUGGGGAAUAGUUAGCGGCGAACGGGUGAGUAACACGUGAGGAACCUGCCCUGGAGACCGGGAUAACUCCCCGAAAGGGGUGCUAAUACCGGAUGUCCUCAUCGGAUCGCAUGGUCUGAUGAGGAAAUGGAUUCCGCUCCAGGAGGGCCUCGCGGCCUAUCAGCUUGUUGGUGAGGUAACGGCUCACCAAGGCCUCGACGGGUAGCUGGUCUGAGAGGACGAUCAGCCACACUGGGACUGAGACACGGCCCAGACUCCUACGGGAGGCAGCAGUAGGGAAUCUUGCGCAAUGGGCGAAAGCCUGACGCAGCAACGCCGCGUGGGGAUGAAGGCUCUCGGGUUGUAAACCCCUUUCAGCAGGGACGAUUAUGACGGUACCUGCAGAAGAAGGACCGGCCAACUACGUGCCAGCAGCCGC